rnacentral:rRNA from 1 species
GACGAACGCUGGCGGCGUGCCUAAUACAUGCAAGUCGAGCGGACGGAUGGGAGCUUGCUCCCAGACCGUCAGCGGCGGACGGGUGAGUAACACGUGGGCAACCUGCCUGUAAGACUGGGAUAACUCCGGGAAACCGGGGCUAAUACCGGAUAACUCUUUCCCUCACAUGAGGGAAAGCUGAAAGAUGGCAUCUCGCUAUCACUUACAGAUGGGCCCGCGGCGCAUUAGCUAGUUGGUGAGGUAACGGCUCACCAAGGCGACGAUGCGUAGCCGACCUGAGAGGGUGAUCGGCCACACUGGGACUGAGACACGGCCCAGACUCCUACGGGAGGCAGCAGUAGGGAAUCUUCCGCAAUGGACGAAAGUCUGACGGAGCAACGCCGCGUGAGUGAUGAAGGUUUUCGGAUCGUAAAACUCUGUUGUCAGGGAAGAACAAGUACCGGAGUAACUGCCGGUACCUUGACGGUACCUGAGCAGAAAGCCACGGCUAACUACGUG